rnacentral:lncRNA from 1 species
UCCAAGCUUGAGAUGAGGCUGAGCUUCCAAAGAGAGUAAAGAGAGUAGAGGUCAAGGUUUUAGAGGAAAAACAGGUAGUAGAGAGAAAAAGAAAGAGAAAGAAGAAGAUGGAGGGAAGAGAGGGUGUUUUCUCUUGUGACUAAGAUAAAUAAGGGAGAGCGAGAGAGAGAAUAGGGUAUUUAUAGUUGCAACACUACGCCUGCUUAAUAAACAGCUUGCGUAUAGGUAAAUACCAGUACUCGAACUUGAGUAUUAAUACUCCCUCACUUAGUAUCGAUGCAGUCCCAAAGUUUUACA